rnacentral:tRNA from 1 species
GGUUGUGGCUCAGUGGUAGAACACUUACCUUGAAUAUGUGAGGCACUGGGUUCAAUUCUCAGCACCA